rnacentral:rRNA from 1 species
GUCUCUGGCCAUACCACCCUGAACGCACCCGAUCUUGUCUGAUCUCAAGCUAAGCAGGGUCGGGCCUGGUUAGUACUUGGAUGGGAGAAAUGACCGUGUCCUGAAUGUA